rnacentral:rRNA from 1 species
UACGUAGGGUGCGAGCGUUAAUCGGAAUUACUGGGCGUAAAGCGUGCGCAGGCGGCGCCGCAAGUCAGGCGUGAAAUCCCCGAGCUUAACUUGGGAAUGGCGCUUGAAACUACGGUGCUGGAGUGUGGCAGAGGAAGGUGGAAUUCCACGUGUAGCGGUGAAAUGCGUAGAGAUGUGGAGGAACACCGAUGGCGAAGGCAGCCUCCUGGGCCAACACUGACGCUCAUGCACGAAAGCGUGGGGAGCAAACAGG